GUGGGGAAUCUUGCGCAAUGCGCGAAAGCGUGACGCAGCAACGCCGCGUGCGGGAAGACGGCCUUCGGGUUGUAAACCGCUUUCAGUUGGGACGAAGCUUCGCCGGUGAAUAGCCGGCCGGAGUGACGGUACCUUCACAAGAAGCCCCGGCUAACUACGUGCCAGCAGCCGCGGUAAUACGUAGGGGGCAAGCGUUGUCCGGAAUCAUUGGGCGUAAAGCGCGUGUAGGCGGCUUCGUCAGUCCGUUGUGAAAGUCCAGGGCUCAACCCUGGAAUGCCGAUGGAUACUGCGGAGCUCGAGUCCGGAAGAGGCAAGUGGAAUUCCUGGUGUAGCGGUGAAAUGCGCAGAUAUCAGGAGGAACACCAAUGGCGAAGGCAGCUUGCUGGGACGGUACUGACGCUGAGACGCGAAAGCGUGGGGAGCAAACAGGAUUAGAAACCCGAGUAGUCC
rnacentral:rRNA from 1 species